rfam:Bombyx mori DNA, contig: Bm_scaf22_contig15418, strain: p50T/Dazao, build 2, whole genome shotgun sequence.
UUAACUCAAAUUUGUAUGCAGUUGGAACAGUGCCCCUAGCGGCAAACGUAGGCAAACGUUCCAACUCCAUACAAAUAUGAGUUA